rnacentral:rRNA from 1 species
GACGAACGCUGGCGGCGUGCCUAAUACAUGCAAGUCGAACGCUGAAGGAGGAGCUUGCUUCUCUGGAUGAGUUGCGAACGGGUGAGUAACGCGUAGGUAACCUGCCUGGUAGCGGGGGAUAACUAUUGGAAACGAUAGCUAAUACCGCAUAAGAGUAGAUGUUGCAUGACAUUUGCUUAAAAGGUGCAAUUGCAUCACUACCAGAUGGACCUGCGUUGUAUUAGCUAGUUGGUGGGGUAACGGCUCACCAAGGCGACGAUACAUAGCCGACCUGAGAGGGUGAUCGGCCACACUGGGACUGAGACACGGCCCAGACUCCUACGGGAGGCAGCAGUAGGGAAUCUUCGGCAAUGGACGGAAGUCUGACCGAGCAACGCCGCGUGAGUGAAGAAGGUUUUCGGAUCGUAAAGCUCUGUUGUAAGAGAAGAACGAGUGUGAGAGUGGAAAGUUCACACUGUGACGGUAUCUUACCAGAAAGAGACGGCUAACUACGUG